GCAGGGGCCCUGCGCAACAGUAUGGUGUGAACCCCGUCAGGCCUGGAAAGGAGCAGCGGUAAGCAUUUCUACUGUGUGCCGCAGCAAGUCUUUGCCCG
rnacentral:SRP_RNA from 1 species